UACGUAGGGUGCGAGCGUUGUCCGGAAUUACUGGGCGUAAAGAGCUCGUAGGUGGUUUGUCGCGUUGUUCGUGAAAACCGGGGGCUUAACCCUCGGCGUGCGGGCGAUACGGGCAGACUUGAGUACUGCAGGGGAGACUGGAAUUCCUGGUGUAGCGGUGGAAUGCGCAGAUAUCAGGAAGAACACCAACGGCGAAGGCAGCUCGCUGGGACGGAACUGACGCUGAGGCGCGAAAGCGUGGGGAUCAAACAGG
rnacentral:rRNA from 1 species